CACAAUUGUCAACAAUUCAAGGACAAGUACAGAAUACUUAAUGAAAAACGUAUAAAACUGACUUCUCGUUUCCAAAAUCUAUACACAAUUCACUUCUCGUUCAAUCGCCACGAAGAAUAAAUCCAAAAACAUUCACAAUUUCCAUUAGGAAGCGAAAUUUGGACGAAGAUUAACAUGAAAUCAACGGCGUGCCUUGUUCUCAACGCGCUUCUCGUGGGCACCUUUUUCUUCCCGGAAGUGGUGGACGGACAAACGGCUCAAUGCAAGUCGCAAUGCUUCCAAUAUCUGCAGUGCAAAAAUACAUGGACGAAUUUCCACAACGCGAGCCCAGACACGGUGGCAUUUUUCUGCAAGAAGGAACAAAUUGCGCCCGGGUGCAGUUGUGCGUGUAUUUGCUAAUUAUCACACUCAAGUGGUAAUUAACUUCGGAAUAUUACAUUUUCUAUGACUUGUGCAUGCAUAAAUUUCACAUUCAUAUGAAUGUGAAAUUUUAAACAAUUAUUCAAAUAAAAAUGUUUUAAUCGCUUGAAAUUUA